AUGGAAGAAGAGCCCAGUCUCUGCUCCACUCUCCAGCACCUGGGCGUCGCCAACCUCCACCAGCGUCAGUGGGGACAGGCCUUUCUCAGGGCUGACGCAGACCCUGCAGGGCCUCAGAACUGCUGCCUGCUGCCACCCAGCCGGGGAAGGAGCCUCUCCAGCAAGAGGGAGGUGCUUUCUCACAGCAGUGAGAAUGUGUGCUCAUCCCUACCAGCCUGCACAACUGCUCCACAGACCCUGAAGCCACUGUCUUCUCUGGACACGGGCCAGCUAACCAUGCCCUUAACCAUGGAAGUAAGUCCACUGCAGGAUGGGGACACAGUGCCCAGCUGCCCUCAAGCACACACUCAGCACUUUCCCACCUCUGGCCCUGCCCUCCAGAGCCCUCUGCAGUGGCAGCUUGGGCACAGCCCGGCAGCGCCUCUGAAUUGGGGGGUGUGCAAGAAACCAACAGUAUUUGGCUUUGUCCCACCGCCCAAGCCCCUGUCUCACAGCCAGUCGGCCCAGCUCUUUCAGCCAAGCCACACACCUUCACUCCCUUUAGGAGGAACUAUCCCUGGACACCUGGCCCUGCCGGGCCGUGGGAAUCUGGAUUUCUGUGAGGAGUCCACGCACCGGGCACCUGCACGGAGUGAUCACUGUCAGGAGCCCCUCAUUGCCUCAGACCACACGUCCUUUGUCAACCCAUAUGGCACCUGUUCCUUGGACAGCAUUUGGGGUUUCCACAUCCAGGGCCAGCCAGAAGUGGUCCCUGGGCAAGUUGGGGCAGGGAAGGAGGCAGGACAGGCCCCACCUGACCGUUUCAGCCGCGCAUGGUCCACCAUGGCUGACCCCUGCCUUCUGUGGACAGGGCCAGCCAGUGACAUUCCUCCCAACUUGUGCAGGGGUCGGCCCCUAUCUGUGUACGGGGCCUUGGGUUCACCACAGCACACACCUGGGAGCCAAGAGCAGCCACCCCACGCCCUCUCAGGGAGCCCUGCCUGUCCGUCCCAGGUGCUUCCACAUGGACCCUUGGCUACUCGGGACUCUUAUGGUGCAGACUCAGGCCCAGUCACCAAGCAACAGCAGUGGGUGCAGAUGGGGCUGCAGACCCAGGGAACUUGCAAGCAAGUGAGAGAGGGGAUACCAAGUGUCCAGCAGCUGGGUGGCUGUGUGAGAGCUGCCAUUCCCCAAGCCCCACAGUUGAGCCCCCUCCUGUCCUCAGAGAGCAUCUCUCCCGGCACAGGAAGCAGCCAGGGCAACAGCCCCGCUGAGCCAACAAGGCAAAGCAAGAACAGACUGGCCGUGCCAGCACCAUGUGCUGUGGGCAGACAGCAGGUGCAGUCUAGCCCAGCCCUGCCUCCCUGCCCUCCUGUUCCUGCCUGGCCACCCCCAUCCACGCAGGGUGGCCACAACUUCCAGCAGUGUCACCAAAACAAAGUACAUCGCACCACGGCACUUAGGGUUCCAGGCCCAAAAGGGAGCUCGUCUUCCUCCAAAUUCUGA
rnacentral:lncRNA from 1 species